UGCGGUUCGGAGGCGAUGACUCGCUGCCCGUGACGUGGGCGCCUUGGGCGGCGACGAGCCAGUGGCGCAACCGGCCGAGAGCGCG
rnacentral:ncRNA from 2 species